rnacentral:rRNA from 1 species
CCUACGGGAGGCAGCAGUGAGGAAUAUUGGUCAAUGGACGCAAGUCUGAACCAGCCAUGCCGCGUGCAGGAAGACGGCUCUAUGAGUUGUAAACUGCUUUUGUACGAGGGUAAACGCAGAUACGCGUAUCUGUCUGAAAGUAUCGUACGAAUAAGGAUCGGCUAACUCCGUGCCAGCAGCCGCGGUAAUACGGAGGAUUCAAGCGUUAUCAGGCUUUAUUGGGGUUAAAGGGUUCGUAGGCGGUCGGAAAAGUUAGAGGCGAAAUCCCGAGGCGCAACUUGGGAAUUGCCGCUGAUACUGUGAGGCUAGAGAGUAGUUGCUGUAGGCGGAAUGGAUGGUGUAGCGGUGAAAUGCUUAGAGAUCAUACAGAACACCGAUUGCGAAGGCAGCUGACCAAGCUACUUCUGACGUUGAGGCACGAAAGCGUGGGGAGCAAACAGGAUUAGAUACCCGGGUAGU